rnacentral:rRNA from 1 species
UUCGAAGCAACGCGAAGAACCUUACCAAAUCUUGACAUCCUUUGACAACUCUAGAGAUAGAGCCUUCCCCUUCGGGGGACAAAGUGACAGGUGGUGCAUGGUUGUCGUCAGCUCGUGUCGUGAGAUGUUGGGUUAAGUCCCGCAACGAGCGCAACCCUUAAGUUUAGUUGCCAUCAUUAAGUUGGGCACUCUAAGUUGACUGCCGGUGACAAACCGGAGGAAGGUGGGGAUGACGUCAAAUCAUCAUGCCCCUUAUGAUUUGGGCUACACACGUGCUACAAUGGACAAUACAAAGGGCAGCGAAAUCGCGAGGUCAAGCAAAUCCCAUAAAGUUGUUCUCAGUUCGGAUUGUAGUCUGCAACUCGACUACAUGAAGCUGGAAUCGCUAGUAAUCGUAGAUCAGCAUGCUACGGUGAAUACGUUCCCGGGUCUUGUACACACCGCCCGUCACACCACGAGAGUUUGUAA